UUACUACUUGGAUACCUGUGGUAAUUCUAGAGCUAAUACAUGCUAAAAACCUCGACUUCGGAAGGGGUGUAUUUAUUAGAUAAAAAACCAAUGCCCUUCGGGGCUCCUUGGUGAUUCAUAAUAACUUCACGAAUCGCAUGGCCUUGCGCCGGCGAUGGUUCAUUCAAAUUUCUGCCCUAUCAACUUUCGAUGGUAGGAUAGUGGCCUACCAUGGUUUCUACGGGUAACGGGGAAUUGUAAGUUUUAAUACCUCUCUCUAUCCUCUAACUCAUCGCUAAUCGUUCUUUGCAGAGGGUUCUAUUCCGGAGAGGGAGCCUGAGAAACGGCUACCACAUCCAAGGAAGGCAGCAGGCGCGCAAAUUACCCAAUCCCAACUUGGGGAGGUAGUGAGUCAUCCUAUUUUCUUAACACGGUUCAGGCGUGGAGUUUAUGCUAAUAUCGAUGCUUAGGUGACAAUAAAUACUGAUGAUGGGAUCUUUCGGUUCUAUCAAUUGGAAUGAGUACAAUUUAAAUCCCUUAACGAGGAACAAUUGGAGGGCAAGUCUGGUGCCAGCAGCCGCGGUAAUUCCAGCUCCAAUAGCGUAUAUUAAAGUUGUUGCAGUUAAAAAGCUCGUAGUUGAAACUUGGGCCUGGCUGGCCGGUCCGCCUCACCGCGUGCACUGGUCCGGCCGGGCCUUUCCUUCUGGGGAACCGCAUGCCCUUUAUUGGGCGUGCGUUGGGGAACCAGGACUUUUACUUUGAAAAAAUUAGAGUGUUCAAAGCAGGCCUAUGCUCGAAUACAUUAGCAUGGAAUAAUAGAAUAGGACGUGUGGUUCUAUUUUGUUGGUUUCUAGGACCGCCGUAAUGAUUAAUAGGGAUAGUCGGGGGCAUCAGUAUUCCACUGUCAGAGGUGAAAUUCUUGGAUUUGUGGAAGACUAACUACUGCGAAAGCAUUUGCCAAGGAUGUUUUCAUUAAUCAGUGAACGAAAGUUAGGGGAUCGAAGACGAUCAGAUACCGUCGUAGUCUUAACCAUAAACUAUGCCGACUAGGGAUCGGACGGUGUUAUUAUUUUGACCCGUUCGGCACCUUACGAGAAAUCAAAGUUUUUGGGUUCUGGUAAGUUUUUCAGUUCUUCCGAAUGUUCGAUAUAUAUGCUAACUGCUUUCUGUAGGGGGGAGUAUGGUCGCAAGGCUGAAACUUAAAGAUAUUGACGGAAGGGCACCACCAGGCGUGGAGCCUGCGGCUUAAUUUGACUCAACACGGGGAAACUCACCAGGUCCAGACAUAAUAAGGAUUGACAGAUUGAGAGCUCUUUCUUGAUUUUAUGGGUGGUGGUGCAUGGCCGUUCUUAGUUGGUACGUAUUUAACCUACAGGUUCGAUCCUUCGGUUGAUCGCUAACAUAUAUUCUAGGUGGAGUGAUUUGUCUGCUUAAUUGCGAUAACGAACGAGACCUUAACCUGCUAAAUAGCCCGGCCAACUUUGGUUGACCGCCGGCUUCUUAGAGGGACUAUCGGCUCAAGCCGAUGGAAGUUUGAGGCAAUAACAGGUCUGUGAUGCCCUUAGAUGUCCUGGGCCGCACGGUAUGUUUUAGCUAUCCUUUUUCUAACCGAGAUCAACGUAUACUAAUUAUCUUCUAGCGCGCUACACUGACAGAGACAACGAGUACAUCACCUUGGCCGAAAGGUUUGGGUAAUCUUGUUAAACUCUGUCGUGCUGGGGAUAGAGCAUUGCAAUUAUUGCUCUUCAACGAGGAAUGCCUAGUAAGCGCAAGUCAUCAGCUUGCGUUGAUUACGUCCCUGCCCUUUGUACACACCGCCCGUCGCUACUACCGAUUGAAUGGCUCANUGAGGCCUUCGGACUGGCCCAGGGAGGUCGGCAACGACCACCCAGGGCCGGGAAGUUGGUCAAACUUGGUCAUUUAGAGGAAG
rnacentral:rRNA from 1 species